GGACGUGGGCUUUAUAUACUAGUAGAGCACUGGCAUAUAAGGGACUUAUGGAAAGGACCUCAGCAGGUCAAGAAAAAUUGUUUGCAUUCAUCUUUACAUGAGCUCCUUUUAAUAUUUAAUUAACACUUCUAUAUCAAAACAUUUUGAGAUUAUUUGGUCAAACCUUUUAUUUAGUGCAAGGUCAUCUACAAAGAAGAUCUGUGGAACAUAGUAACAUUAUUUCUUUUCUAGAGUUUUAGGGGCUGAAAUUACACAGACUGCUAAAAUGGUGAUUCACCUAUGGAGGAUCACACCUGGGUAUAUAAGAUUAUUGCAGACUCAAGCUGCGGGAAAAAUAGUUAUCAACACAACAGACAUAUUGAUGCAACGUACAGCUUUGCUAUUGGGAAUGUUUGGGAUCAGUGUUUCUGGCUACAGUACACACCGGCUAACUCAAGAGAAGAGACUUUGUUUGACCCUUUAAGCUGUGUUGGGAUACGACUCAAGAAAUGAGAGUUUAUGUCGAUAGAGCUGAGUAAUGAUUUUUCUCUUCUUGAUCAGUUCAGAGUUUGUGAGACACUUCAGUCUAGAUUUCUAAAUGCAAACUUGAAAAGCCAGGGAAAGUACUGCAGAUCUCUGCAGGGGAAAUAAUGACUGAUGAUUGGGGGAGAUAUUAGAUGUGUAAGCAAAGUGUGAUGGAUUUCUUUGGAUAUACUGUAUGUACAUAGAGAGAAGAUUACAUGUAUGAUGUACAGUUAAAAUCAGAGUAGGUAUACACAGAUGGAUGGGCGUGCCAUGCUUAAUUAGGGUCACCUUGUAACAGCUCCUGAAAAUCAUGUCAAUACAAAGAUUUAUUCUGAAAGGGAAUGUUGGAAGCAUGUAUUUUCUUGACAAGACUUAGAGCAAACAGCAAAAUACCUCCCAUGAACCAUUAAUAUUGGGCAUACACACACAGAGGAAUAUAUGUUAGACAUCUGUGUGCAUAUCAGAAUUGGCAGAAUCUGUCCUUUACUGCUGUUGGACUCUCUUUAUCUGAAAAUGUUCGUACAAUGUAACAUGUUUUAAUAUCCUACCAUAGCAUAGAAAAAUGGCCUGUAGAUUAUCUGCUGUAGACAUGGUAUUGGAAAGGAUUAGCAAUACCAAAGUAACCUUUUCUUCUGUUAGUAUUUUAUGUUUUUAUUUUAUUUUUAGGUCUUUAGUAUUUUGAAAUUUUCUACUAUAGAAGAGAACAAUAAGAAUGAUGGGUUGCCCUUUGCAGCUGAGUUGAGCAUGUCAGAUCAUAUUCCCUCUGCAUAGUUUGUUGAUCCCAUAACACAUUCUGAUUAAAAUAGCAAUGGAGUUUGUGAUCUCCUUCCCCCCUUCCACCUUAUUUUUCUAGGUCUUAUUUAAUGCGGUACUUUCCUUUUAUUUUAACUGUUUCAGAUAGUUUAUGCAGACACAGUUUUGUAGAGUACUUUAUGUUGGUUAGUUAAGAUUUAAACUCGUCUUCCAUGUUAAUCAGCUAGACAAAUAUUUUAUUUUUGUCUAAGUGUUUUGAAUAAUUUCUUCUGUCAACAGUAUUUAUAUUCAGCCACUAAGGGGCAUCCUACACAGCUGAAUAUUUUUAUGUUUCAAGAUAGUUCUAUGCAACAUUAUAAAUCACAGAUAGACUCAGAUUUAAAUCAUAAUGAGCUGUUGUUUACCUCCUCCCCACCUAGAAAAGAAGCCCAGUGGGAUUAAAUUAAAGAACAGAAAAUGAGCUUUUAGCAGGCCACAAUCGCUUUGUACUAAAAUUAUAAAAGGAUACAGUUCUAUGUUCUGCCUUCAUAUAAAGAGGAAUCAGAAAAACAUCAUCGUUUCAGCCCAAAUAAAAGUGGAAGAUACAUAAUUGAAUUAAACCUCUCAUCAGUCUAGGGAUGGGGGAUACAUUUUUUUCACAAGUAAUUCUAUAUUCUUAGAAUGUUGUAAUCAGUACUUAUUAUACUGAUCGCUUGCAUUUUUGUAUUAGCUGGUAACUGUUGUGGAAAAGUAAAUAUACAAGAUCAUUAAAUGUCACAGUUUCCAUUAAAUGUGUUCAAAUAAAAAUUUUUGACUCACUAACAGUACAUCAUGUGUUGUAUCAAGUUAAGUAUAACUGUUGUAACAAUAAAAUGUUCAAGAAUGAA